rnacentral:rRNA from 1 species
UAUGUGAUCGUCUCUCGCAUAUCAAUAAGCGGAGGAAAAGAAACUAACAAGGAUUCCCCUAGUAACGGCGAGUGAAGCGGGAAGAGCUCAAAUUUGAGAUCUUAAAGGGUUUCCCUUUACGAAUUGUAGUUUAAAGAAGUGUUUUCUGUUGAGGUUUUGGUAAAAGUUCUUUGGAAUAGGACAUCAUAGAGGGUGAGAAUCCCGUAUUUGACCUUUACUUUCAACUUUGUGAUACACUUUCAAAGAGUCGGAUUGUUUGGGAAUGCAGUCCAAAAUGGGUGGUAAAUUUCAUCUAAAGCUAAAUAUUGGCGAGAGACCGAUAGCGAACAAGUACCGUGAGGGAAAGAUGAAAAGAACUUUGAAAAGAGAGUUAAACAGUACGUGAAAUUGUCAAAAGGGAAGCGUUUGACACCAGUGUUGUUUUUCUGAAAAUCAAUUAAAGAACUGUUUAUGCUAAGCUUGUUUAGACUUUAUCAGCUAUCUGCUUUAGUUUUGAGCUUUUCUUUAAUGCACUUUUCAGUUAACAAGUCAACAUCAAUUUCUUUUGCUGUAAAAAAGCUUGAGGAAGGUGGCUUGAGAUUCGUCUUAAGUGUUUAUAGCCUCUUGCCUAUGCAGUCGGAGAGAUUGAGGUCUGCAGCGUAGAUCCUUCGGGGCUAAAUGCAUUUGUGCUAAGUUAUAGCAUUUUAUAGACAACUUGUUGACUAUGAUUUGUCUUGUAGCUUACUCGCUUAUGUUAUUUUACCUACGCUUAGGAUGUUGAACGCGCACAGAGUCUC